rnacentral:tRNA from 1 species
GGUCGCAUGGCUCAGUUGGUAGAGCACUUCGUUCACAUCGAAGGGGUCACAGGUUCGAGUCCUGUUGCGACCA